rnacentral:rRNA from 1 species
UUCAUACGGGAGGCAGCAGUCGGGAAUAUUGCGCAAUGGAGGAAACUCUGACGCAGUGACGCCGCGUGCAGGAAGAAGGUUUUCGGAUUGUAAACUGCUUUAGACAGGGAAGAUACAAGACAGUACCUGUAAAAUAAGCUCCGGCUAACUACGUGCCAGCAGCCGCGGUAAUACGUAGGGAGCAAGCGUUAUCCGGAUUUACUGGGUGUAAAGGGCGUGUAGGCGGGCCUGUAAGUCAGAAGUGAAAUCUGGGGGCUUAACCCCCAAACUGCUUUUUCAACUGCGGGGCUUGAGUGAUGGGGAGG